rnacentral:misc_RNA from 1 species
GCCAUACACGUUUGUGUUUCUACACGCGACGAUGCAACCGCAACUCACACGUUCAACAACUCGCAUCACCACCAGCUCGACUUCUGCUGCGGCUGCUGCUGCUACGCCCAGGGAGCACUGUGCUGGACAAGAUGCUGCCGAUCCCUUGGCACCUCAUCACGCUUAUCUUCGUGACUGUGCUGCUGCUUGUCGACCGCGCGCAGACGCAGAGCAAGAGAACUGCGGAGCAGGCAGAACUGAGCGCCCUGCACUAGUUCGCAGACAAGCGCCGGAGCGUGAUGCGACCGCUUCGGACCGCGUCUAACUACUGCGCGUGGGAUGGCGUGACAUGCAACGCGAAAAGUUACGCGCAUGUGAGCUCGAGUGGCCACAUGCUCGUGGACGAGAUGCCAAAAGUGGACGGCAGCGACUAUGGUGCGCUGCCGCGCGUCGCGUUGAUUGUUCUGUCAAACAAUUCCCGCAUCCACGGCGGCCUCGCGGACAGCUUGACUGCGCCGAAGCGUCUGCGAUCGCUGGAGGUGAGCCGGAAGUCUGUGCACUGGAACCUGCCUAGCCGGUAGGACGGGAUGGCGAGCCGGGAGGCAGUGGGCCUGAGCGGCAUCUGCUUCUGAGGGUGCAUGCCGUCGUCGUCGGCGGGCAACGCCGUGUCCGUGCCGUUUGCCUCCUCGAAUUUGCUCUCCUUGCGUGUCUGUAUCGGUUCUCGGACUCUUCUUCACGUCUCUACCGCAGACGUGCGCUCUUUCUUUACUUGUCUUUCCGCCUCCUUUCCCCCUCCUCCUCCGUGCUGCGAUAUCCGAG